CUGCACUAGUUGGGGAGCCAGCGGUGCCCUGUAACCUGCAAUCCGCUACAGCAGGAAUGAAUUCCCAACAUAGGAUCUGUCAUGUGUCGUCUGACACCGGUAAGCAGCGUUGACGAGCCGGUCUCGCGCAACGGAAACCCGUGAACCAUGUCAGGCGGGGAACCGAGCAGCAUUAAGCGGUGCUUUUCGUGUGCCGUGAGGGUGCCGGUUCUGAGCCGGCUGCCGGCGUAACGGGCAUAUGUCAGUUUUCGAAGUUGGGUGUGCAG
rfam:Firmicutes bacterium CAG:240 genomic scaffold, scf69